UUGUCGUCAGUCUAAUAACUCUGUUAUACCCUUGUGGUGAAAAUAGGAUACUAGUGUGAUUGUGGUGGUUGGGGUCUCUCUUGUAGGGGGGCCAUGGACGCCACGAUCCUCUUCUUAACCAAAAACAUUAUCAUUACAUUAUUAAUCUAAAGUAACCUUGUGGAUGAGAUAUUCAUUUAUUAUAAUCACCAAGUAAAACAAUAAUAAUCUAAUACAACUGCUAGCAACGGAUCACUCGGCUCUCGCGUCGAUGAAGAACGUAGCGAACUGCGAAAAUUAAUGCGACCCGCAACACGUGAGUCAUCGAGUCUUUGAACGCAUAUUGCACCCGACAGGCUCGCUUGUCGGGUCUGCCUGUCUGAGUAUCAGUACGGACCCAAUCAACAAUGAAAGGCCAUUUAUUUGGUUAGACAUUGUUGUGUUGGUGCUCACUGGAGGUGUUUUAAUACAUGCCCCUGGUGGAUUUGAGUGUUCAGCUAUCAUUCUUUAGCUGGUCAUUUGAAAUGUAUUGGUGUCGUCUAGCUGACAGUCGCCGCGUAAGCAUUGUUAAUCAUCUUUAUUGAUGUUCCUUGCUAUCAAUACACGGGCCAACGACAAUAAGCAUCAUCAGCACGAUCCAAGCACAAACCUACCAAAUACUUGUAUUUAACCAUCUUGAUCUCAGAUCAGGCAGGAUGACCCGCUGAACUUAAGCAUAUCAAU
rnacentral:rRNA from 1 species